GCAGUUGACACUAUAGAGCUUAAAUAUGCCUACAUACAAGAUGACGGCUAACCCAUCUUUCUACAAGGUUCUCCAGUUCUGCAAAGUGUUAUAUUAAGCAGGCUGGGAAAUACAGCAAAUGGAAGUUGGUAUCAGCAAUCCUGGCAUUUUGUGUACGUUCAAUUACCAUCCAGCUCUGGAAAACAGGACUUCUAUGGUGCACACUUAUUUUCUGCAUGUCUAUAAUAUGCAAACUGCAGGCUGAUCUACUACAGUAAUAAAAGCAAACUGAAAAGGUUUUGUACGUUGGCCAAAGAGAGGAAGAUGCUCCUCCAAUGAAGCAGGAGGUGGGGUUUUAUUAGCUGACAAUACAGCACUUGGAACUGUGGAGUAAGGAACUCUGCUUUUGCAAGGUUUUCCAGCUGUACAAUUCAUUUUUAAGGUCAGCUAACUCACUGGGAAGAUUAGACUUGGACUCUGACAAAAGGAACCAUGAAUGUGCAGACCGUUUCUUCCUGGUCGUGUAGAAGAUACGAAGGUACCCUGUGUUACACCAGGCACUGUUGUUAUCUGGGCACUCAAGGAGCAAAGCCAACCUCCCAGCAGUCUAAGAAACAAAUGCUUGUGGCAAGUGCCCCUAAAGCCAGACUGCACCUUGCUGCCCAGCAGUGCGAGUGAGGCACCCAAAGAUUGCUGUCCUCACCCAGCUGAAGUUAAAGCAAAUGACGAUGAAAAUGGCACAAAGUGAUCCCAUCUGGAGCAAGUAGUCACAAGGAGAAUGCAGAGAUCUGCCUCAAGACCUGCAGGAUCCAUCCUCUCUGGUUAGAGGUUUGAAGUCAAAGAACAC
ensembl:lncRNA